GAUGAACGCUGGCGGCGUGCCUAAUACAUGCAAGUCGAGCGAACGGACGAGAAGCUUGCUUUUCUGAUGUUAGCGGCGGACGGGUGAGUAACACGUGGAUAACCUACCUAUAAGACUGGGAUAACUUCGGGAAACCGGAGCUAAUACCGGAUAAUAUUUUGAACCGCAUGGUUCAAAAGUGAAAGACGGUCUUGCUGUCACUUAUAGAUGGAUCCGCGCUGCAUUAGCUAGUUGGUAAGGUAACGGCUUACCAAGGCAACGAUGCAUAGCCGACCUGAGAGGGUGAUCGGCCACAAUAGAACUGAGACAAGGUCCAGACUCCUACGGGAGGCAGCAGUAGGGAAUCUUCCGCAAUGGGCGAAAGCCUGACGGAGCAACGCCGCGUGAGUGAUGAAGGUCUUCAGAUCGUAAAACUCUGUUAUUAGGGAAGAACAUAUGUGUAAGUAACUGUGCACAUCUUGACGGUACCGAAUCAGAAAGCCAAGGCUAACUAAGUG
rnacentral:rRNA from 1 species